UAUUGUUAAGCACAGGGACACAUAGAGAUAUCCGAACCCGGGCGUUGGUUGACCCGGGCGCAAGGGACCGAACAUCAGUAGGGAAGUCGGAGAUGCUCUGUGGCGAGAAAAGCUGUGUGUAUUGAUUAGGCGCCCGUACCGCAAACCGACACAGGUAGAUGAGGAGAGAAUCCUAAGGCCAACGGGAGAAGGGUUGUUAAGGAACUCGGCAAAUUGACCCCGUAACUUCGGGAUAAGGGGAGCCUCCUACGGGAGGCCGCAGUGAAUAGGCCCAAGCAACUGUUUACCAAAAACACAGGUCUCUGCUAAAUCGAAAGAUGACGUAUAGGGGCUGACGCCUGCCCGGUGCCGGAAGGUUAAGAGGAGAGCUUAGCGCAAGCGAAGGUUCGAAUUGAAGCCCCGGUAAACGGCGGCCGUAACGAUAACGGUCCUAAGGUAGCGAAAUUCCUUGUCAGGUAAGUUCUGACCCGCACGAAUGGCGUAAUGAUUUGGGCACUGUCUCAACAGCCCGCCCGGCGAAAUUGUAGUACUGGUGAAGAUGCCAGUUACCCGCAACUAGACGGAAAGACCCCAUGGAGCUUUACUGUAGCCUAAUACUGAAGAUCGGUAAUGCAUGUACAGGAUAGGUGGGAGCCCGCGAAACCCGGGCGUCAGCUCGGAUGGAGGCAACCUUGGAAUACCACCCUUGUAUUGCUGGUUUUCUAACCUGCGGCCAUGAAUCUGGUCGGGGGACACUGUUAGGUGGGCAGUUUGACUGGGGCGGUCGCCUCCAAAAGCGUAACGGAGGCGCUCAAAGGUUGGCUCAGCACGGACGGAAAUCGUGCAUAGAGUGCAAACGCAUAAGCCAACUUGACUGCGAGACCGACGGGUCGAGCAGGUACGAAAGUAGGAGUUAGUGAUCCGGUGGUAUGUGAGUGGAAAUGCCAUCGCUCAACGGAUAAAAGCUACCCUGGGGAUAACAGGCUGAUCUCCCCCAAGCGUCCACAGCGACGGGGAGGUUUGGCACCUCGAUGUCGGCUCGUCACAUCCUGGGGCUGUAUUCGGUCCCAAGGGUUCGGCUGUUCGCCGAUUAAAGUGGCACGCGAGCUGGGUUCAGAACGUCGUGAGACAGUUCGGUCCCUAUCUGUUGCGGGCGCAGGAGAUUUGAAGGGAGCUGUCCUUAGUACGAGAGGACCGGGAUGGACAGACCUCUGGUGCACCAGUUGUCGUGCCAACGGCACAGCUGGGUAGCUACGUCUGGACGAGAUAAACGCUGAAAGCAUCUAAGUGUGAAACUCCCCCUAAGAUAAGAUCUCCCAUCCAUUAGGAGUAAGGGACGACAGAGACUAUGUCGUUGAUAGGUCGGAAGUGUAAGUGCAGUAAUGCAUUGAGCUGACCGAUACUAAUAACCCGAGGGCUUGACC
rnacentral:rRNA from 1 species